AAUGAAAGAAGUGUACUACAGUAUAUAGUUUUGUCUAUAUUCUAUAUUCUAGAUCGAGCAGUAUCCACAUACUCUCUCAAUACAAGGCCAAACUAAAUGUGACUUGUUUGGUCAAAAAAACUCGAAGGCUCAAAAGAGUUGGCACUUGACAGGGAAAAAAAUCUAACUUUGAGAAAAGUAAAGAACAAAAAGAAAACACAAAGUGGGGAAAAUGGCCAAUCGAAGAAAAAGAUAAGACAAGACAUGAAGCAGUGUGAUGAUGAUGAUGAUCAUCAUUACAGUGAAAGAAUCAAAGAAUCAUUCAUUCAUGUUUUUUUUUUUGUUUUUGACACUUGGAAGUUUGGAAUAACCAAACGUUCGUUGGCGUUUUCAAACGCCGCAUCUUCGAGUUUUUCAAGUAUCUUCUCUUCCCUAUACUAUUAUAAACCGUACAUGUUGAUGUUACACAUUUUUCUAAAUCCAAGUUUCCAAAUUCGAUUCUUUUGAUUUACUUUCUAUUGGUAAAAAAAAAAAAAUAAGAAUAAUGAAAUGGAAAUGAGAAUUGUACUAUUUUUAGAAACAUACAACUCGUUGGGCCUAGUUUUGGGUCGUGUGGGUAACAAUCUCAAACUAAGAGGGCUUAAGCCCUUAAUUAGAAAUUAUUGUUUGUUUUUCUUUAGUUUCUUUAUAUUCGAACACCAACUUCGUAGAUCCACC
rnacentral:lncRNA from 1 species